rnacentral:rRNA from 1 species
UAGGGAAUCUUCCGCAAUGGACGCAAGUCUGACGGAGCAACGCCGCGUGAGUGAAGAAGGACUUCGGUUCGUAAAACUCUGUUGUUAGAGAAGAACAGCGCAUAGAGUAACUGUUAUGCGUGUGACGUUAUCUAACCAGAAAGCCACCGCUAACUACGUGCCAGCAGCCGCGGUAAUACGUAGGUGGCAAGCGUUGUCCGGAUUUAUUGGGCGUAAAGCGAGCGCAGGCGGUCAAUUAAGUCUGAUGUGAAAGCCCCCGGCUCAACCGGGGAGGGUCAUUGGAAACUGGUUGACUUGAGUGCAGAAGAGGAGGGUGGAAUUCCAUGUGUAGCGGUGAAAUGCGUAGAUAUAUGGAGGAACACCAGUGGCGAAAGCGACUCUCUGGUCUGUAACUGACGCUGAGGCUCGAAAGCGUGGGUAGCAAACAGG